AUUGAACGCUGGCGGCAUGCCUUACACAUGCAAGUCGAACGGCAGCACGGGAGCAAUCCUGGUGGCGAGUGGCGAACGGGUGAGUAAAGUAUCGGAACGUGCCCAGUCGUGGGGGAUAACGUAGCGAAAGUUACGCUAAUACCGCAUACGAUCUAUGGAUGAAAGCGGGGGAUCGCAAGACCUCGCGCGAUUGGAGCGGCCGAUAUCAGAUUAGGUAGUUGGUGGGGUAAAGGCUCACCAAGCCGACGAUCUGUAGCUGGUCUGAGAGGACGACCAGCCACACUGGGACUGAGACACGGCCCAGACUCCUACGGGAGGCAGCAGUGGGGAAUUUUGGACAAUGGGCGAAAGCCUGAUCCAGCCAUGCCGCGUGCAGGAUGAAGGCCUUCGGGUUGUAAACUGCUUUUGUACGGAACGAAAAGGUUUGGCCUAAUAAACUGAGCUCAUGACGGUACAGUAAGAAUAAGCACCGGCUAACUACGUGCCAGCCGCCGCAGUAA
rnacentral:rRNA from 1 species